UUUGUUAAUAAAUAAGAAAACUGUAAAACGAUGUUGUAUAGUGUAUUCAUUAAUCUUUACUUUACAUAGCAAUUUCUUCAAACGCACAAACUAAAAGAAAAGUGAAAACCUAAACCUAAACUCACUCACCACCACCGUCUCUUCUCAGACUCCAAUCAUCGCAUCCUCUCAACUCUAGUGCUGUCGGCGACACAAUGCUCCUAUUUGCCCUCCGCGCUAGCUAACAUUACUCCACCACUACGAUUUUCCACAUAAACAAAUGACACGAUUCACAUCGUUGUUUCUUCGACGUUGCUCUAUCGUUUUUCCAAUAAUUCUUUGCGAACGAGAUAGAAGAAAGAGAGACAAUGAAGAGGCGAAGAGAAGUCUCGUAAAUUCACCAUGCAUAUAGAUGCGACGACAAUGCUGAAACCUUUGCAGUUGAAAGGGGCAUUGCUUGAAAGGAACCAUGCUGAUGAUACACAUUUUAAGAGAUUAAGCUGUAUAGUCCAAAUUGGUUUUGUGUUUACUCAAAGAAUAAGAAGACAGUAACUUACAAGUCAAGGGACUCAUUGCAAGUGGUGAUAAAAAACUUGCUAUUGCUUCUAUGCCAGCAAUAAAUCCUUGUGACUUUCCCUGUAGCAAAAUACAUUCAUACAACAUAAAGAAAUGGUAAACAUUCGAUAUAUCAAUAAAAUCAGAAAGGUUGAAGUGCGUUA